GAAAUCAUUGCACCAGACCUCCAGUGCCAAGAGAGAUCUCUUCACACACCAACCUCUUUGUGAGCGAACAGGACACCAGCCCCACCCAAAAUACUGUUAACCAUUGACUGAAAGGCCAGAGGGGACACUGACAUCCUGUCAAUCUUCUAGAAGUGAAAUAAGGAGGGCUAACAUGGACACUGCUCUUCUUAUGUGCCAGGAACUGGGCUAAGUCUUUUACUUAAUCAAUUCAUUGAAUCCUCAUGAUGGCUCUGUCAGGUUGCACAUUCCCUAUGGGCACUGAAAUUAAAGAAGAGGUAAAAUACAUCAUCAUUUGCUGUUUGGAUCUAGAAGGGAACAGAGUAAAGAGUAUAAAAGCAUGUUAAUCUUGCUGCGGUGAACCUGAUCAGAGAAGAACCAAACUCAGAAAGGAGAAGGCAUGAACUCCUUUUGGGGAAAAGGAGCACAGAUAAUGAAGCUUGAGGAGUUCACAGUUUUACUGGUCGCCUGCAGUUACAGAGAAAUAAAACUCACCCUGUAAAGAUCUUGGAACUCUCAUUGAUCCAGGAGAAGCCAUGUAAAAGGAGACCUAGGGCUAUGGAAAUGAACCAAGUUCAGGGUUGACAACCAUCCAUGAAGGCUGAUAACAGCAGGGAAGGAAACAAUGAACGAAUGUGUGCAUUUCCUCCAGAUUUGGAGGAAAGUUAGACAAUUUUGUUAGGCUUUAUGAUUUUGUUAAUGAAUUAACCAGAAGAAACAGUAGUCAAAGACCAAUUUGAUUUUGAAAAGAGCCAAAUAAAUUUGGAAUAAACUG